AGCGAACGCUGGCGGCAGGCUUAACACAUGCAAGUCGAGCGGGCACUUCGGUGUCAGCGGCAGACGGGUGAGUAACACGUGGGAACGUACCCUUCGGUUCGGAAUAACGCUGGGAAACUAGCGCUAAUACCGGAUACGCCCUUUUGGGGAAAGGUUUACUGCCGAAGGAUCGGCCCGCGUCUGAUUAGCUAGUUGGUGGGGUAAUGGCCUACCAAGGCGACGAUCAGUAGCUGGUCUGAGAGGAUGAUCAGCCACACUGGGACUGAGACACGGCCCAGACUCCUACGGGAGGCAGCAGUGGGGAAUAUUGGACAAUGGGCGUAAGCCUGAUCCAGCCAUGCCGCGUGAGUGAUGAAGGCCUUAGGGUUGUAAAGCUCUUUUGUCCGGGACGAUAAUGACGGUACCGGAAGAAUAAGCCCCGGCUAACUUCGUG
rnacentral:rRNA from 1 species